CCUGCUGCCACGGCUGUUUCCAAUGCUGCUGAAACAAAUCAGCAACACUCUUGGAAAGGAGCUGCCUUCAUCUGCAGGAAGAGUUGAAGACGAGCCAGUCCUUGUGGCAAGUGGUGAAGGCAGCAGUCCUUGCAGGCUUUCCAUCAAAGCAUUAGAUACUGUGCUCUGCAAGUGCAUCAGUGAGAAAUGCAUGGGGAUUCUCCGGAAGCAGAACACAUGGGCUUUUCUUGAAAAUCCCCGGACAUACCAUGAGGGCAUGUGUCUGCUGACUAGUGUUCUCCUCCAAACUGAUGUGGUCACGGUGACCACCAUACGUGCUGUCUUGCCA